UGCAAGUCGAGCGGUAACAGGGGGAGCUUGCUCCCCGCUGACGAGCGGCGGACGGGUGAGUAAUGCAUAGGAAACUGCCCAGUAGUGGGGGAUAGCCCGGGGAAACCCGGAUUAAUACCGCAUACGCCCUUUGGGGGAAAGCAGGGGAUCUUCGGACCUUGCGCUAUUGGAUGUGCCUAUGUCGGAUUAGCUAGUUGGUGGGGUAAGAGCCUACCAAGGCGACGAUCCGUAGCUGGUCUGAGAGGAUGAUCAGCCACAUCGGGACUGAGACACGGCCCGAACUCCUACGGGAGGCAGCAGUGGGGAAUAUUGGACAAUGGGGGCAACCCUGAUCCAGCCAUGCCGCGUGUGUGAAGAAGGCUUUCGGGUUGUAAAGCACUUUCAGUGAGGAGGAAAACCUUACGACUAAUACUCGUGAGGCUUGACGUUACUCACAGAAGAAGCACCGGCUAACUCCGUGCCAGCAGCCGCGGUAAUACGGAGGGUGCAAGCGUUAAUCGGAAUUACUGGGCGUAAAGCGCGCGUAGGUGGUUUGAUAAGCGAGAUGUGAAAGCCCCGGGCUCAACCUGGGAACGGCAUUUCGAACUGUCAGGCUAGAGUAUGGUAGAGGAGUGUGGAAU
rnacentral:rRNA from 1 species